CAUAUAUUCAGCGAAGAGAAUUCCGCCAUCUCUACCACGAUCAUUGACACAUGAUGCUGAUGUUCUGUCCUUUCCACGUGUUCUGGUACCAAUAGAAGAAACGUGCUGCAAUUGCGAAGGUAUUGCCCUUAGCAAAGAGAAAUUGAUUACACGGAAAGGAAAGAUAUUUACUUUAACCAAAGUUAUUGAAGAUGUUGAACUAUGUUACAAAUCAUGUCCACAAUGUGGACUGAUAUACCGAUAUCAGGAGUAUACGGAUGGGCUUCAUAACUUUGACGAUUACCAUUGCUUUAGUCUAAGCUUCCUGUUGCUGUUACGAGCAUUUGUCGAGGAGCAUACAGCAUUAGGAAGAGUC